AUGCGAUACGUAAUGUGAAUUGCAGAAUUCCGUGAAUCAUCAAAUCUUUGAACGCAUAUUGCACUCUAUUUCGGUAGAGUAUGCCUGUUUGAGAAUCUAUAAUUUAUACCGCCUAGUGGUUACCUUUACCGGUAGCUAUUAGUGCAGUGAUUUGAGGUUUCUCUCCCCAGAGUACCUUUAAAUAGAUUGCUUUUACGCAGGUUAGGGUGUUUGACCCUUUGCUUUGUUGCAGAAACGUAUUCGAAUGGGGCUUUUAGCUUCUCCUUAUGCUUACUAUGUGACUGCAGAGGUUAGCACUGACUGGCUUAAAAGUUCAUAACCUUUGAACCUGCCGCAAGGUUGGUUGAACCAUGGUCUCAAAUCAGGUAGGAUUACCCGCUGAACUUAA
rnacentral:misc_RNA from 1 species